UGAUUACUGCUCAGUAACACGUGGACAACCUACCCUCCGGACGGGUAUAAACCCGGGAAACUGGGUAUAAUCCCCGAUAGAUCUCGGUCGCUGGAAAGCCCCGAGAUCGAAAGCUCCGGCGCCAGAGGAUGGGUCUGCGGCCUAUCAGGUAGUAGUGGGUGUAGCGUACCUACUAGCCUACGACGGGUACGGGUUGUGAGAGCAAGAGCCCGGAGAUGGAUUCUGAGACACGAAUCCAGGCCCUACGGGGUGCAGCAGGCGCGAAAACUUUACAAUGCCGGCAACGGCGAUAAGGGGACCUCGAGUGCCAGGUUACAAAUCUGGCUGUCGUGAUGCCUAAAAAGCAUUGCAUAGCAAGGGCCGGGCAAGACCGGUGCCAGCCGCCGCGGUAACACCGGCGGCUCGAGUGGUAACCGUUAUUAUUGGGUCUAAAGGGUCUGUAGCCGGCCGGAUAAGUCUCUUGAGAAAUCCAGCAGCUCAACUGUUGGGCUUUCAGGAGAUACUGUCUGGCUCGAGGCCGGGAGAGGUGAGAGGUACUUCAGGGGUAGGGGUGAAAUCUUGUAAUCCUUGAAGGACCACCAGUGGCGAAGGCGUCUCACCAGAACGGACCUGACGGCAAGGGACGAAAGCUAGGGGCACGAACCGGAUUAGAUACCCGGGUAGUCCUAGCCGUAAACGAUACUCGCUAGGUGUCGGCCACGGUGCGACCGUUGUCGGUGCCGUAGGGAAGCCGUGAAGCGAGCCACCUGGGAAGUACGGCCGCAAGACUGAAACUUAAAGGAAUUGGCGGGGGAGCACA
rnacentral:rRNA from 1 species